UACGGAAGGGACAAGCGUUGUUCGGAAUCAUUGGGCGUAAAGGGCGCGUAGGUGGUUCUGUAUGUCUACCGUGAAAGCAUACAGCUCAACUGUAUUUUGUCGGUAGAAACUGCAGGACUUGAGGCUGGGAGGGGCUGGUGGAAUUCCCUGUGUAGCGGUGAAAUGCGUAGAGAUGGGGGAGAACACUCGUGGCGAAGGCGGCCAGCUAGACCAGUUCUGACACUGAGGCGCGACAGCGUGGGGAGCAAACAAG
rnacentral:rRNA from 1 species